AGCAUUUACUCUGUAAGCACCGGCCUGAGCUCUCGCCCUGCAAGUUCCCUGCUUGACUUCACAUAAAGGUGGAUGCUUGGGAUUCUAUUUCAUUAGUAGGUGCGCUGCACUCGUAUUACUAUAAAAAGGGACAAUCCUUUCCAUACGCCCUGACGAAGCCUGCCUUACCAACAGACGAGGGGGUGAAACGCCCGUCAGCAUCAGCUGACCAGAUCACGUGGCCUUGUGUACCUCCUACAGCACCGCUUGAACACGGAGCGGUCUCUCUACAGCAUGAAAUUGGAAAAGCACUUGCUUGUUCGGCACUAAUGGAUGCCUGUUCCUGUCUUAUUGAGGUGUAAAAUCUUAAUGUCAGAAAUGGCUCCUCCUUCUUUUUAAAAUGUAAAUCAUAAUUUCAUUUUUCAAAACCAAACGUCAUUUUUGUCCAGUGGUAAAGCAAAUAAAGAAGUUCAUGUGUCAAAAAAG